UCGCCUACACUGGGUUUUUAUUGACCCACGAAAGAUUUCUGCUUGUCGAGCGUCCACGUGGAGAGAAGAAGAAUGCUGAGUGUUGCUUGUCAUAAUGUAGUCCAUUAGACUACAUUUUCUAAUGUUUGCCGGCAUAACCAAAAUGUUGUGAACAAUGGGAACAACAACAUGCUGAGAACAUGAGGACAUGGAGAAGCAAUGUUCUUGAAUUGCAGGUGACCUGCCAAUGCAGUAAAAAGCUGCAAGAGUAACAUGAACUUGCUUGAGUCACUUUGAUGCUGUAUUGUGUUGUAUUGAUGUGUAGCUGAACUAACAAAACUUAAUUGUAUAAAUAAAAACCUAAUGCUUGA